rnacentral:lncRNA from 1 species
CGUCAUACACCUGCACCCGGGAGGAAAGGCGAGGCUCUGCAUCUAGAUUUACCUCGUUCUCUUUUGUCUCCGCUUUUUUUUCACAUUUCCUUGCGACCCUGGCCCUUGAGCGACAAAAAGGGGAAGCCAAGGCUGGCCCGAGGAACGGAGAGGGCACAUGGCCUAGCCACAAGUGGAGCUUCUGCUCCGCCCGAAGGGAUGCGCUGGAGCGGCCUCUUCCUUCUGCCACGGUCUUUCUUUGCCAACUAGUAGAGAUGGGGUUUCACCAGGUUAGCCAGGCUGGUCUUGAACUCCAGACCUCAAGGGAUCCGCCUGCCUCAGCUUUCCAAAGUGCUGGGAUUACAGGUGGAGACUGGACCUCAGAAGAGGGAGUGGGUGCCCCGAGAACUCACAGCUAGCGGACAGUGGAAAGGGCAGGAGCCGGACCAAGGUGAGGACAGUGGAACUGAAGGCCGCUGGUUACCUCUCCUGCCCUCCGCUGGCCACAGUGGAGAAGACAGCCCCUCCCUCCUGCUCUGACCUGACAGUGUUCAUCCAUCGCCCUGUAUUAGCGAAGAACAACAUCAAGCUGGCUAGCAAGGAACUGUAUACAGGGUCCAGCUGGGUAUCACACUGGAUCUCACCCAAAGCUUAGAUGUGAUCCAGCUCAGUAUCACAAAGCAGAACGAAAAGGAUGUGUUUGGGCUGAGAGGCCAUACAUUGGCUCCGGCAUGACGGGUGACUUCUUCCGAGUCUGGCUUCUGCAGCACACAGGGCUUCGCCAGCACCCAGCUCCUGCAGCAUGGGCAGCUCCUGUGACAGCAGGCGCCCGCAGCCUGCAAAGCGUCUCCAGUGCCGCCGCCUCAGUGAACCUCAACCAGCGGCACCUAGCAGCUUUCUCUGCCACCCUCUUCAGGUAGUUCUGUAGCAGCGCGUUUCUCAUGAGACACUUCCCUGUGAGCAGCUUUUUCUACCCUUGAGGAUGGAUUUCCAGCAAAUUCUGCCCAUGUGGUACCACAGCCACUUCUCUGCCAUUCAGUGAAACUGCCGUUGUGCCCUCUUCAAGGUCUGGAUCUAAGCCCAGGGACCAGGAAACCUCUUGCUUGAGUGCUGGAACUCAGGCCAGAAGGCAGGAAGCCCGCCUGACCCCAUGUCUCAGGCUGCCAGAGGAGCGUGCGAUGAGGAAGGCUGGACUGUCUUCACAGGACACCAGGGAGAAGCCUCAAGCCACUGCCCCCUGACAAGUCGCAGCUCUCCAGCCUGUCUCCUCACUCCCCUCCCCUCCACAUGGGGGGGUUGGGGUGGGGGCGGGGAAGGUUCGGGGCAGGGGUCAUUUCAGCUACUGGGCACCAGUCUCCUCCUCAUGUUUAUCCUGUUCCCUUUGCUUGAAAGGUUCGUACUCCAGAUCCUUGUAAAACCGCUUCUCACCCUUUGAGUCUCAGCUUAAAUGUCCCCUCCUUGGAGGGGUCUUCCCUGACAAUGAAGCUCCGACCGUCCUCUCCUGUUUUACCCAGUUCAUUUCUUUCUGGCAUUUGUAACUACUUGAAGUUAAAGUGUGUGCCAUGU